rnacentral:rRNA from 1 species
UACGUAGGGACCAAGCGUUGUUCGGAUUUACUGGGCGUAAAGGGUGCGUAGGCGGUGGGGUAAGUUGGAUGUGAAAUCUUGGGGCUUAACCUCAAAAUUGCAUUCAAUACUGCUCCGCUCGAGUUCUGUAGAGGAGAUUGGAAUUUACGGUGUAGCAGUGAAAUGCGUAGAUAUCGUAAGGAACGCCAGUGGCGAAAGCGAAUCUCUGGGCAGCAACUGACGCUGAGGCACGAAGGCCAGGGGAGCAAACGGG